CACCAGUUGAAAUCGCAGUCUGGCAAAGCCCUUGGACACUCUGGUCUCUCCCGGAAGAAAUUCCUUGAACACAGCCGUUAGGCUUUCAUAGUACUUUGCAGCCAGCUUCCUAACAAGCCAGCCUGACACGCAGUCCCUUAGGCGGACUCAGCCUACCAGGCUCUCCACCAGCCUGCUAGUCGGCCAGCCUCUCCUCCAGGUUCUUGGCAAGCAUUCCAGCAAGCCUCUGUGUUGGCCUCUUAGCGAGUUAACCUGGAGAUCAGCCUGCCAUGCAGUCAGCAUUUUGAAUAGCCUUCCAGCAAGCCUCUCCCCCUGCCAGAAAACCCAUCAUUCGACCAUCCUACCAUGCAGCCAGGCUCUAGGCCAGCCUCCAAAAAACCGGCCUACAACCCAGCCUUCUAGCCAAAUUCAUCUUGCCAGACUCUCUGGAAAUGUUUUAGGAAGGAUUGAAGGCAGCCUCUCAGAUAGUCUCUUACAAAAGCUCUCAGGCUCCCAGACAGCUAGCCUCUGAUGCAGCCUUUCAGAAAGCCUCUUAAGCGAAUCUCUCAUCUAGCCAGCUUUCAGACCAACCUCCCAUGCAGCCAGCAUUUUUAACAGCCAUCCAGCAAGCCUCUUGCACAGCCAAUCUGCCACUCUACCACUUUCCUCGCCAGCCUCUGGGUUAGCCUUCCAUGAAGCCAGCCUCUAGGCCAGAUUCCUAACAAGCCAGUCUUGCAUUUGGACUCUUAGCCAGAUUCAGCCGGCCAGGAUGUCAGCAGGCCUUUUAGCAUGCGAUUAUGGCAGCUUCUCAGACAGAAAGCCUCUAACACAGGCUCUUGGCCAGCCUCCCAGCGAGCCAGCCUCUUAGCAAGCCUCUAUGCCACUUUCCAAGACAGUCCUUCACUAGAACAGCUUCCCAUGCAGCCAGCGCCUUGGCCAGCCUUCCAGCAAGCCUCUCAGUAGUUCUGUUAGCCAGCCGCUUAGCCAGCCAGCUUCAGAACCAGCCUCCCAUGCCACCAAUGUCAUGGUCAGCCUUUUUGUAAGCCUCUCAGAGAGCCUUUUAGGCAGCUUCCUGAAUAGCCAGCCUCAAGACCAGCCUCCUUUGCAGCCAGCAUUUUGAACAGCCUCAGUGGGACUGAAGGAGAAAGCAGCUAAUGUUUAGGGUUGCUUUUAAGCUGGCCUGGUCCCUCCGCCCUGCAGGGCGCCCCCAUCCCAGGCCUGGGGGGCCUACCUGGGAAGAAGGCCCAGACCUCAGAGCCCAGGAUUGCUGCCCCACCACUGCUUCACUCCUCUACCUGCUCACUUUGUCCCCGGGCGCCCCAUGCCCCACUCUGAAGGGGCGAUCCUCCCACAGCUGUUACCUCCUCCUGCAAUCCCCAGCUCAGGCAGGGCAUGGCACCUCUUCUUCACAUCUCUUAUGUUCAGGUCCAUGGUCGUCAUUUUCACCAUCAUCCCCUGCAGCUUCCAGCCAUAGCCCGGGAGGCAGCUUUGUGAAUCUUCAUGAGUUCUCCAUAGUGAAUGACUUAAGAGUCUUUGGUGUAGACCAGCUGAGUGAAAGCGCUCGGGUGCUUCAGGCUCUUCGCACCCUUGACAGCAGCAGCAGAGAGCCUCUCCAUGGCCACAGCCACCUGUUGAGAGCUCGCGCCUCCCUCUCGCCAUUUCCCAGGCCCCACUGCUCAUCCUUACCCUUCUUCAUCGACAAACCUGGCCCGACACCAGUUGAAAUCACUGUCUGGCAGAGCCCUUGGACACUCCGGCCUCUCCCGGGAGAAAUUCAUUGAGCAGAGCUGUUAGGCUUUCAUAGUACCUUGCAGCCAGUUUCUAGGCCAGCCUCCUAACAAGCCAGUCUGACACCCAGGCUCUUAGCCAGACUGAGCCUACUAGGCUCUCAGCAAGUCUUUUAGCCAGAAUUUAAGGCAGCCUCUCAGACAGACAGCCUCUCACACAGGCUCUCUGCCAGCCUCCUAGUCAAACAGCCUCUUGUCUAGGUUCUUGGCAAGCCUCCCACCAAGGCUCUGUCGGCCUCCUAGCCAACCUGCCAUGCAGUGAGCAUUCUGAACAGCCUUCAAGCAAGCCUCUCCCCUGCCAGAAAACCUGUCAUUCGACCAUCCUCCCAUGCAGCCGGGCUCUAGGCCAGCCUCCAAAAAACCAGCCUGACACCCAGCUUCCUAGCCAAAUUCAUCUUGCCAGACUCUCUGGAAACAUUUUAGGAAGCACUGAAGGUAGCCUGUCGGACAGACUCUCACACAGGCUCUCGGACAGGCUCUCAGACAUGCAGCCUCUGAUCCAGCCUUUAAGAAAGCCUGUAAGCGAAUCUCCCAUCCAGGCAGCUUCCAGACCAACCUCCCAUGCAGCCACGGUUAACAGCCAUCCAGCAAGCCUCUUCCACUGUCAAUCUGCCACUCUGCCACUUUCCUCGACAGCCUCUAAGCCUUCCAUGCAGCCAGUGUCUAGGCCAGGCUCCUAACUAGCCAACUUUGCAUUCAGACUCUUAGCCAGAUUCAGCCUGCCAGGAUCUCAGCAGGCUAUUUACCAAGUGUUUACGGCAGCCUCUCACACAGGCUGUCAGCCAAGCCUCCCUGCGAGCCAGCCUCUCAGCAAGCUUCUAUGCCACUUUCCAAGACAGUCCUUCACUAGAUCAGCCUUCCAUGCAGCCAGAGCCUUGGCAAGCCUUCCAGCAACCCUCUGUUAGCCAGCUGCUUAACCAGUCGGCUUCAGAACCAGCCUCCCAUGCCACUGAUGUGGCCAGUCUCCCAUGCCACCGAUGUGGCCAGUCUCCCCAUAACUCAGAGAGCCCCUUAGGCAGGCCUCCUGACUAGUCAGCCUCAAGACCAGCCUCUUUUGCAGCCAGGGUUUCGAACAGCCUCAGUGAGAGUGGAGGAGGAGAAAGCAGCGAAUGUUUGGGGUUGCUUUGAAGGUGGCCUGGCCAGGCCCCAAUCCCUGGCCUUGGGUGGGGCAUGCCCGGGAAGAAGGCCCAGACCCUGGGGCCCAGGAUUGCCGCCCCGCCGCCACCCCACUCCUCCACCUGCUCGCUUUGUCCCCGGAACCCCCACAACCCAUGCUGAAGGGGUAAUCCUCAAACAGCUGUCACCUCCUUCUGCAGACCCAGCUCAGGUAGGUCAUGGCGCCUCUUCACAUCUCUUGUGCUCAGGUCCGUUUUCUUCGUCUUCACCGUCAUCCCCUGCAGAUUCCAGCCAUGGCCCCAGUAGGCAGCUUUGUGGAUCUUCCUGAGUUCCCCACAGUGCAUGACUUAAGAGUCUUUGGUGUAGACCAGCUGCAUUAAGGUGCUCGAGCGGUCCGGGCUCGUCAUGCCCUUUACAGCAGCAGCAGAGAGCCUCUCCAUGGCUGCGACCACCUGUUAAGAGAGAGCCCGUGCCUCCCACUCGCCAUUACGUAGCCCCGGGUGCUUGUUUUUGCCCUUCUUCUGCGCCACACCUGGCCCCACUCCAGUAGGAAUCACAGUCUGGCAAAGCCCUUGGACACUGUUUUCUCUCGGGAGAAAUUCGUUGAGCAGAGCCGUUAGGCUUUCACAGUACCUUGCAGCCAGUCUCCUAACAAGCCAGCCUGACACCCAGUCUUUGGCAGACUCAACCUACCAGGCUCUCAGCAAGCCUUUUGGCAAGAAUUUAAGGCAGCCUCUCAGACAGCCUCUCACACAGGCUCUCUGCCAGCCUCCUAAUCGGCCAGCCUCUCAUCCAGUUUGUUUACAAGCAUCCCAGCAAGCCUCUGUGUUGACCUCCUAGCCAGCCAGCCUGAAGACCAGUGUCCCAUGCAGCCAGCAUUCUGAGCAGUGUUCCAGCAAGCCCCUCCCCCGCCAGAAAACCCGUCAUUCGACCAGCCUCCCAUGCAGCCAGGCUCUAGGCCGGCCUCCAAAAAACCGGCCUGGCAUCCAGCCUCCUAGGCAAAUUCAUCUUGACAAACUCUCAGCAAGUGUUUUAGGAAGCAUUGAAGGCAGGCUCUCAGACAAGUCUCUCACUCAGGCUCUCGUCCAGGCUCCCAGCCAGCCAGCUUGUGAUUCAGCCUUUCGGAAAACCUCUAAGUGAUUCUCAUCCAGCCAGCUUCAAGUCCAACCUCCCAUGCAGCCAGCGUUUUUAACAGCCAUGCAGCAAGCCUCUUGCACAGCCAGACAAUCUGCCACUCUGUCGGUUUCCUCACCAGGAUCUGGGUUAGCCUCCCAUGCUUCUAGCCUCUAGGCUAGGCUCCUAACAAGCCAGCCUUGCAUUCAGACUCUUAGCCAGAUUCAGUCUGCCAGGAUGUCAGCAGGCCUUUUAGCAAGUAUUUACAGCAGUGUCUCAGACAGCCUCUCACACAGGCUCUCGGCCAGCCUCCCAGGGAGCCAGCCUCUCAGCAAGCCUCUAUGCCAGUUUCCAAGACAGUCCUUCACUAGACCAGCCUCCAACGUAGCCAGCCCCUUGGCUAGCCUUCCAGCAAGCCUUUCAGUAAGUCUGUUAGGUAGCCACUUAGCCAGUUAGCUUCAGGACCAGCCUCCCAUGCCACCAAUGUCAUGGUGAGCCUCCCAGUAAGCCCCUCAGAGAGCCUGUUAUGCAGCCUCCUGACUAGCCAGCCUGAAGACCAGCCUCCCUUGCUGCUAGUGUCUGAACAACUUCAGUAGGAGUGAAGGAGGAAGCAGCCAGCGGGGUGGAGCCAAGAUGGCCGAAUAGGAACAGCUCCAGUCGACAGCUCCCAGUGUGAGUGACGCAGAAGACAAAUGAUUUCUGCAUUUCAACUGAGGAUUUUCUUGCUUUGCCCACCAAGCCGCUCCAUGCCAGAAGGAGGAGCAACCUGCUACACACUGGAGCCUGGAGUCUGGAGACUGGGACAUGGCAGAUGGCCUCAUUGCAGUGGGUGGCAUGCUGGAGUGGAUCAUCCAUUUAUAAGGCUGGACAGGAAUUUGAGGGGCCACCUUGGGAAAAAGAACUGAACAUGUGCUGAGCAGCUACUGUGAGCUGGGCUCUUUCACCUGCUCUCUGGGUGAACUCCUGGCCGUCAAGUCUUUGGACUUGAACAAUCUGUAGCUAGGAAGAAACACAACCACAGUCCAACCUAUUCUUCAGUUACAUUCAAGAGGCCAAGCGAGCUACACCUGCUGUUAGAAAUAAAUGCUUGGUGCCCCAAAGAGGAAUCAGCACUCUGGCGAAGAGUUUUCUCAGCAAGGCAAAUUUACUUCUGCAGAAGGAUGUUGCUCAUGAGUCUGGUCACCACAAGAGCACACCGAACAAAGGUAUAAUUACUAUUCCUAUUGACUGAGAAGCAACAAAAUUAAGGCACAGUAAGUUUUUCAUUGCUACCAGAUGUAAAUGUGAUUUAGAUUUGCAUACUGACCCUAUUUCAUGUGACCUGAGUGAUUAUGUUGAUAAUGUGAAGACUGAAGAUGGAAACACACUCAAUUCUUGAGUAGUCAGUACUCAGAAGAGAGCUUCCCUGGAGAAUCCUCGGACCUGCAACAUGGUUAGGGGUGAAUGGAUAAGACAUGUUUAUUAAGUCACUGAGAUGUUGGAAUUAAUUUGUUAACACGGAUUAAAUUAGUUAAAUUAUACUAUCCCAUUAAGUAAAGAUAUAGAAUUUCAAUAGGUUAUAUGAAAAAAUAAAAUAGCAUGAAGAUGAUUGUUACUUGAAGUUAAGUAACUCAGUUCAAGGCUACCUAUUUGUUACUCAGAAUUGGGGCCAAAUUCAAACUAAAAUUAAAUGUUGGAAAAAAAUCCUAAGGAAUCACUACCUUCCAAGACUUAGUCAAGAAUAAAAGUGAGUAUUAUGUCAUUUUAGACUGGAUUUUUUUUCUACAAUAACAACUCCUAGAGCAGGUGGUUCCUUUCCAAGUCAUAGGAAUACAGAAUUAAGAUUUCCAGCAUGAGUAUUCAGUAGAGAGGUUUGGCUAGCUAACUCUUGCCAGAUCUAAAAUCAACCAGUGAGCACCUCUGAUAUCAGACAAGGCCAGAUAAGCAAAAUGAAAUCUCUCAAACAUUUUGCCUAUGAGUCAGUUACUGAUCACACGUUAACAGCUAGAAGGAACAAUAGGCAGUUGCACUGCAAUGGCUUUCUCUCUCUGCCCUAAGUGAUUUUUUUUUUUUACUUAAACUAAUCACAGUUAGCCACUGAAUGUUUUAUAAAAAGAGAAGAUAGAUCAGUACAUUGAACAGUGCUAAUAAUCUUAAAUUAUAGAUAAUCUUACAUUAAGAAAAUGAGAACUGGCCGAGUGUGGUGGCUCACACCUGUAAUCCCAGCAAUUUUGGAGACUGAGGCGGGUGGAUCACUUGAGGUCGGGAGUUCAAGACAGCCUGGCCAACACGGUGAAACCCUGUCUCUACUAAAUACACAAAAAUUAGCGGGGCAUGGUGGCACGCACCUGUAAUCCCAGUUACUUGGGAGGGUGAGGCAGAAGAAUCACUUGAACCUGGAAGGCGGGGUUUGCAGUGAGCAAAGAUCAUGCCACUGAACUCCAGCCUGGACAAGAGUGAGACUCUGUCUCAAAAAAAAAAAGAAAAGGAGGGCUAAUGAUAGCCUUUUAAAAAGAUGCAUUAAAUUACAGAAAGUAAAUGAAUGGGGAAAUGGUCCCAGAUGACUAGUGAAUAUUUUUCUUAGCUUUUUAAAAUGUAGGUAUAACAUGGAAAUCAUAAAAAUCCUAAAAUGUACCAUUUCAUAUAACAUACGAAAUUUGCAUUGCCAUACAAUAUUUAUCAAUGUAUCUUACUAAACUCCUAAAGACUAAAUUCAAUUGUUAUCCUUCUAUCUGAAGUUUUUUUUAAUAACCACUAGAGCAUUAAUAUAAGGAAAAGUUUUGACAGUGGCAUUCAUUUUAUUUCAUCUUUGAAUAGAUGGGGUUCUACGUGUAAUCACAUUGGCACUUGGGGCCUAACAAUUAAUGGAGAUUUUCAAAUGGACUUGGAGGUUGCCAUGUAGGACUUCCUCCAAUAGCAGUUCUAUUUGGGCAUGGAGAAUAUAAACCACUGCCAUAGCUUCAAUUUAAGAACCUGGAAGACAUUACCACUGCUAUCUCCUCUUCGACAACCAGCUCAAAACCUCCUCACAGCCCUUGUGAUCAGAAAGUGGAUCCACAAGGCUGCCUCCACAGCUCCUGUCCACACUCGUGUCCCUGGGACCUUGCUUGCCUGCAGAAACCUCAGCAGGAUAUGGGCUUUCAGUUCAGAGAUGAAUUGCAGUUUCUUUUUUCAUCUAUGAUGUUAUUGAAAGAACGUUGCCAGGAGAGCUUAGACAAAGAGAUCUCCUCCUGUCUCAGGCACUCACUGGACGUGUGUCCUUGGUUACAUAGAGGAUGUUAUCCAGGUCCUGUGUUGUGACAAUAAAACCACAAGAUUUUGAAGAAGCCUGCACCUCUGCAACCUCUGCAUUGAACUGCAUGAAGCACAGUCACUGGUCACGAGGCCUACAGUGGGCUGACUCUACAUGAAGAUGCACAUCCAGAGAUUCAUUUUCCUUGCCUCUGGGUCUAUGGAGUUAUAAAGAAGGAAGUAAUUAAGCAUCUUGUUAUUGAACGGUCAAAAGGGAAAUAGCACUGAAAAUUAUUUGCAAGAGUUCUGUGUAUGAUCAUCUAUUUCCAUAAAAGAAGAAAGUAUCGGUAUCCAACAUGUCCAAAGCUAUGAUAAAUUCUGAUGUCAAAUAAAGGACUAACAUACUGAAGUACAGUAAUGUCAAAUGGUACCAAUCAAAAAAAUACGGAGGAAAAAAUCUAGAGGUGCCUGCAACAUUAGAUACUCAUAUUAAUUCAUGAAUUAAUACAAAGGAGUUUUCAUCACACCUGUGUCAUAUUUCUCUGCAGUUUCUAGCCUUGUUGCAUGUUUUACUGAAUUUCAGAGGAGCUAAUGCUCUAUUAAAAACAAGAAGGAAGACUUGAAUGUAGAAACAAAAAAUAGGAUCUUUAAUAAGAUAUUUACAGAUAUAACAAAAUAUAUACAUAUCCACCCAUAUGACAAAUAAAUGAAUUCAGUAUCAUCAUCUUUCUAUGUUUUAUAAUCAAUUUUAUUUUUGUUCAGAAAAGGUUAAUCUCUCAUUUUUAUUCUACAAUAUAUAAUUGAUGGCUAAUUAUUUAAAAAGUUAUUGCUUAUAUGAUAUAAUAAGGGGAACUCUGGGACAAUAAAGACUGUAUUUUCUGAGAAACAAAAUAUAAAGUAUGUUGAAAUUCAUGCUCUGGAUACUAAAUAUUGUUGAAUAUUUGAAAAGUCGGCUUGGUUAUUUUUUGCCUAACUGAAAAGUCUGGAGGAUUGAAUGGCCAAUUUGAUUAAACCUUUUCCAUAAAAUUUGAUUUCACCUCCUCAGUAAAAUGAACAGGUGAAACAAUACAAAAUAAACAUGGCUGCAUAAGCAAGCACUUAAUUAGUUACAGCUUAUUUUCAAAUGCAUUCUUUAAAUGUGAAUCUUUAUAUGGUAUCUCACAUCAAUAUAUAUAAAUAUUAUAUCUUCAAACUAAGCACCACCCUUGGGUUACAGUGGAAAACACUAUGAUUCUAUAAAUAAGUGCUUACAUGUAUGUACUUUUUGAUGGAAUGUAUUUAUUUAAUAAAAUCUCAUUAAGUUUA